CUUAACAAAUACUUCACUCUCAUCUCCCUCAUCUCUCCCAAAUCCCCUCCCAAACCCUAGCCGCCCCAAGACCCUUUGUUGGCGGUGCCGCUUCAAACAACCCCAAUCUCCCAAAAAUCUUUACCCCACAAUCCCCACCUCCUUCUCAUCCCAUAUCCCUCCGUUAUUUCUUUCGAAAACCUCCAGAAUCUCUUAAUUUUUAAAUCUAGGAAAUCCUAAAACAUAAAUCCACCCCUUUUCGAUUUUUUCUCAAAUCCCGUUUUGUUUGGGCUUAAAACCAACACCAAUAGACUUCUCUCAUUGAGUGCUAUAAGUUGCCAUUGGUUUUGUCUCGUUUCAAGGUCGUCGGUUGCCGGUCAAUUCACUAUUGACCGGCCAGAACUAUUGGGAGUCCUUUGAUGUUGACCGGAUUAUGGCUAAUAUCGUCGCAUACAACAUUAGUUACACUCUCAAGCAUAAGCCAGUGCUUGUGUGGCGAUGCCGGCCAUCGUCCGAAAUUCUUUUCUUUUCGGUCCAUAGUGUUUCACAUGAACAAUUACAAAAGCUAAGAAUCCGAAGAAACAUUCUCAAGAAAACUUCAAAAAAGAUGAGGUUUCAGCUUUUCGAGUCCUUGUUAGAAUUUCAGGGCAUAUAUUUGAAGCUGUUCUUUUUCUGGCAUGUUUGGUUGUGCUUGUUGCUUGCUUUGAAGCUGAUUUUUCUCUCUGGAGUUUUCAGCUCUAUUGGGCUCUAAUCCUUUCUCUGUAUUCAUCUUUUCCAAACAUUUUGCCUACUCCUUAUGGGCUUAGAAAUGAAUGAAGUUUUCAUGAUGAUAUGGUUGCUGGUAGUGAAGUUGAGUUGUGGUUUAUGAAUUUCCCUAUUAAUUGGUUUGUAAUGCUUUAAGGCUUGAGAUCCUACCGAUCCUUCAUAAUCCCCAUGAAUAUCCAUGAUUCACUAUUUCCUUUUGUGCAAUUUAUUUUAGAUGAAAAUGAUCCAAAUUUAGCUUGCCCGUGGU